rnacentral:pre_miRNA from 1 species
UGACUGCCGUUCUGGAUGUGCUUUUAAGUCAUAUCAUAGCUUUUAUGACUAGAGCCACAUUCAGCAUGGCGGUAAU